UUACACUUAAGAAUGUUUUUACGACCAUGAAGAGAAUACCUGCUGUUUGCAGAAGUGGGAGAACGUGGAGCUCCGACCUCUCCCAGGACCUGGGUGUGCUUCUCCCAGACACAGGGCUCAGCAGCGUCCUCUUGUCGCCUGAAAAAAAUGCACAGCCUAGAAGAUGAGACUUACGCUUUAUUCGGUGGACAAAACUGAGGACUUAAUCCCGGGACACAGCAUCUCAGAUGCUCAGAGGGGCCGCUCCGAAGAGGUCAGGGUGAAGCCAGGAUACAGAGGAGUUUCUGCAACAAAGACCAGGCCCUGCGGGAAGGAAACCCCAGCAGCGGCUCCCAGGCCGGCAGGAGGGUCAGCACGUGAUGGAGCGGUUAAUGCAGAGCUAGAUAUUGGUGAGCUUCUAGGAGGUGCCAGGCAGGAAACGAGGAAACGAAGAGAUGUGACCCCGCCCUCGGGGAAUGACCUGGUCCGUACGUGGGAGCACAAAGGGGUCGUGGCUGGGACAGAGG